GGUCCGGUAGCUCAAUGGUAGAGCAGCUCCCUCUUAAGGAGUUGGUUGUGGGUUCGAGUCCCUCCCGGAUCA
rnacentral:tRNA from 1 species